rnacentral:tRNA from 1 species
UGGGGUAUAGCUCAGUGGUAGAGCUUUCGACUGCAGAUAGAGUCGCCCCCGGUUCAAAUCCGGGUGCUCCCU